rnacentral:rRNA from 1 species
AGUGAACGCUGGCGGUAGGCCUAACACAUGCAAGUCGAACGGCAGCACAGUAAGAGCUUGCUCUUACGGGUGGCGAGUGGCGGACGGGUGAGGAAUACAUCGGAAUCUACUUUUUCGUGGGGGAUAACGUAGGGAAACUUACGCUAAUACCGCAUACGACCUACGGGUGAAAGCAGGGGAUCUUCGGACCUUGCGCGAUUGAAUGAGCCGAUGUCGGAUUAGCUAGUUGGCGGGGCAAAGGCCCACCAAGGCGACGAUCCGUAGCUGGUCUGAGAGGAUGGUCAGCCACCCUGGAACUGAGACACGGUCCCGACUCCUACGGGGGGAAGCAGUGGGGAAUAUUGGACAAUGGGGGCAAGCCUGAUCCAGCCAUACCGCGUGGGUGAAGAAGGCCUUCGGGUUGUAAAGCCCUUUUGUUGGGAAAGAAAAGCAGCAGGUUAAUACCCCGCUGUUCUGACGGUACCCAAAGAAUAAGCACCGGCUAACUUCGUG